rnacentral:sRNA from 1 species
AAUUUUUUUGAUGUUUUUGAUGUUAUGUUUUAACGGAUUAAAAACGCACAUUUAUAAUGAUGGAUUGACAUAUUUGUUUGUGCGAUGCUAGUAGAGUUACAGUUGUGAUGUUUCUUCUUUCUGCGAUACAUACUAUCCGAUUCUUCCUUAAAUAAUUCAAUCCGAAAUUCCUAUUUUACACAAACAGUCAAUCAAUCAGAUGCCCGGAUUAAGAUAGAUGGAUUUAAGAAGCUUACAGCAAGUCAACCGUGACCGCGUAUUAGAAUAUGUAAGGAGGAAUUUUUGAGGAACCUGUCAAAAGGACAGUCAGGGGCGGAUUAAGGUGAGUACAGGAGAGGAAAGGUUUGUUGUGUGUAUAACCCCAGCGGGUGCAACGCGGCGGAACUCUAAGAAUAACUGGGGCAUUGCAUGAAAAAAGUAUAACAUUCUUGAAUGGAAUCAAAAUACAUGUACCUUCACACACCUGGCCAGACAUUAUCCACAGGACUGGGAUUAACCAAUGGGUAUGCGCAGAUCAUUUUGCCUAUGCCGCUCCCUAUGAAGGCAAGAUUAUGAAGGAACCUACCAAUACAGGGGAGAAGAAUGGAAUUACUUGUAAUCCUUGCCAAUAUCUUAUUGACUCUGUUGGUCAAGCGUUCCACAUCCUGUCAGCAGGCUAUUGUUCUCCAGGACAACUCUCCUGUUUUCGUCACAUCCCCAGGGUUUCUAGAAGGGAAGCCCUACCCUACGAACACACUGUGUUCUUGGGACAUCUCUACAUAUGACAAGCUAAUAGAGGUCCGGUUUCUUUCGUUCGAUGUGGAGUACGAGACAAGCUGUAGGUGGGACUAUGUCAAGGUCUAUUCGGGGCCGUGCGGCGGGAACAGCCCCACCAAGUACUGCGGCACUACACUACCCCCGCCGCUCGUGUCAGACACACGCAAAGUCUGUCUGGAGUUCUACUCCGAUCCCAUCCAAACUCGGUCAGGAUUCAAAGCGAGACUUCACCUUGUUGGAAAACCAGAAGUCGACACUCAUCCUGAAAUACUAACAUCAACACCAACUCCAAUUUUUAUUACCUAUUUAACCUCAACAUUACCACCAACCACAACCUCAAUUCCAGUUUCAACGUCAUUAGUGACGUCAUCGACUUUCACAACAGAAAGCUUCAAAUCAACAACCGGUGGUCUUCUGGCCAAUGAAAAAUAUACAACCAUAGAUCUGGAAAUGUGUCUUACUCAGCAACAUCAGAUUAAUAUCAAAGACAACGAGAAAUUUACCAUAUUCUCUCCAGGGUACAAAAUAGGCAGUAGAUAUCCUGUGAAUCUUCAAUGUUCGAUGACCAUUGCAUCAGCUUCCGUUGCGACUAUAAGAGUUCAUCUGGAAGCCCUAGAGUUGGAGUACCACCCAGACUGUUUGUAUGACAGGUUGGUGAUUCGGGAUGGACCCCACCACUCCUCGCCCGCCAUAGCUAACCUGUGUGGGCAGCACCAGUCCAAUGUGUACCUAUCUACCUCUGACGUCAUCCUCUUGGAAUUUCACUCCGAUCAUAUUAUUCCCGCAUCCGGUUUUAAAAUGACAGUUGAAACUGUAUCUACCUCAACCAAGCCCCUGACCAGCUCAACUACCUCAUCAAGCGACUCGGACAGCAGCAGUGAACAGAGUCCAACUACCCCCCACGCAGCAACGUCGAUGUCUUCCACAGCGAAUCCCUCAACCCAGACAACGACGACAAUAAAAAAUUGUCCCAACUACCCAAACGCCAUUCUAUUCAACGCCAUUAUUGCAAACUACGACAUUACCUACAGCAUUACCAAAAACAUCAUUUUCAUCACAGUCAUCAUCGUCUUUAUCAUCAUCACCCUUUUCAACAAAAACAACAUUGCCGCCUCCACCCCCCUCAACAGUAUCACCAACAACAGCCACAUCAACAAAGAUAAACCUAAAGACAGAAACGGCCUCGGUUUCAACGAUUCCGACUACCUUGCCCCCUGUCACGACCCCGCCCUCUCCUAGCCCCCUACCCACGGAGUGUCUGGGGAUGGACCGAGUCUUUUCUGUCUUGGGGAGGCAUCGCAUUCAGUCCCCGGGAAUGGAGACCGGAAGUCCGUACCCCAACGACGUCCGGUGCUCGUGGGUGUUAAUUUCUCAGGACCGGCAGGUAACAUGUACACCAAAAAUGUGGUACUCUGAAGCAAUAGUUAUACUACGUAGACACAAAAAAUGUGAAUUAUGUGCUUCAAUAGUAAAUUCAAAAACUGGUAUCUCUUUCUGAUUGAAAUGUUAGAGAUAAAUACUCAUUUAGAUUGUUGAUGUUCCAGGAAAUGGAGCUUUCGUUUGAGAUUUUCGACCUUGAAUACCACGACCAGUGCAAGUACGACAGCUUAAAGAUCUACAAUGGAUCCUCCGCUAAAAGCCCCGUGAUCAACCAGUAUUGUGGCACCAACAUACCGCCGAACCGAACUUUCUCAGGACCUGCGAUCUACAUAGUGUUUACAUCCGACCGAUUUGUGCAGAGAAGUGGUUUCAAAUUGACAGUGGAUAUAAUAGAAACCCAAUACGAGGAGAGCACCUGCCCCCUACAUCAGAGCCGGUGUGUGGGGGGUCCCUGUGUCCCCAGUGAGUGGUUCUGUGACGGUGAGGUUGACUGUCCAGACAAUGGGGACGAGCUCCACUGUGGACAGUGUAGGCCCGAUGAGUUCCGAUGUAAUAAUGGACAGUGCAUAUCGACCUUCCUCCAGUGUGACGGCAGCCCCGACUGUUCGGGCCACGAGGAUGAAGCCAACUGCUUUUCACUGACGCAGGACUCAGAGAUUCUCAUUCACUACAGCAACAAACAUCUUCCUGUUUGCCGAGACGCCUGGAACCCCACACUCGCAGAUCUUAUCUGUGCCGACCAGUUUUUCAGGUGAAAAGGUCUUUACCAUGAUUCACAUGGAAAGUAAAAUUCAAUGUGCUCUUUUUAAAUAGUGUAUAUUUCUAACUGCAUGCCUCCUUUUGACAGCGUUGUCGAUAGCGUGUGGUUUGAAACCAGCAACAAUUUGGUACAUGUUGGUCUGAAGGACACCAUCUCCAUGGACACAGUUCUGUCACGUGAUUUGUUGUCCAUAGUAACGUGGUGUCCUAGUAAUCAAAAAGUUCAUCUCAAAUGUCAAAAAGCAGCUUGUGGUGAAGUAAGCAGUGACCUCAUGCAGCCGUACAUUCUCGGGGGCAGCGUCUCACACAGGGGCCAGUGGCCCUGGACGGUGGCGCUAAUGGUGGGGAACUCCUUCCUGUGUGGGGGCACUCUGGUGGCGGACCGGUGGGUGGUGACGGCCGGGCACUGUGUAGAGUCUGUCUCAAAAACACCCUAUCUAAUCAGGGCUCAGUUCGGCACGACUUCCCUGACUCAAGCUGACGUCACUUCCCGCCGAGUGAUAGAGGUCAUCCGUCACCCGGACCACGACUUUAUCUACAACGCCGACAUCGCGCUCCUGCACCUACAAAACCAAGUCCGGACCAACGACUUUAUCCGGAAAGCAUGCAUCCCACAGCAGUUGCAACUACUCACUUCCGGUCUUAUAUGUUACAUUUCCGGUUGGGGUGUGACCCGCAUUGAAGACUACUACACUACCGUUCUGCCGGACAUGCUUCACCAUGCUAAGAUCAAACUGUGGAGCCAGUCCAAAUGUAAGAAGGCGUAUGCGGCCAAAGUGAAAGACUCCAUGUUCUGCGCUGGCUACGAUUAUGGUGGAAUUGACUCCUGUAAAGUGAGAAACACAUGCUGUCCAUUUCAUCUAUUUUUUUUAGUUUUCAUAGUUUGCUAAUUCGACAUUGAAUGCAUGAUGAUAUAAAGAGAUGCCAAGUAACACGUCCUGAUGGUGUUUUCACAGGGAGACAGCGGGGGUCCCCUGGUCUGUCGGGUUCGGAACCACUGGAUGUUGAUGGGGGUGACUACGUGGGGGGAGUCACCGUGCGGACAGCUCCACAAGCCGGGGGUGUAUACCCGAGUGGACGCUUUCACAGGGUGGAUCACAAACAUCACCCAAUCAUCAGGUUAGAUUUGAACCUUUGUCAUUCUUUUCACGGCGAAUUUAACCAUGCCUUGAGGUAAUAUUGUACAUGUAUUGGAUAUACUUUAAUUUAAGUACGUGGAAUUAAUAUCACUUAUAUGUCAAUGGCUGUGUUGCUAGGAUCGGCGAUAGCCUGUGAUUACGAAACUUCCGGUUCAUGUGGACACAUCGACCUGUCAGCAGACAUGUUUAUGUGGACACGGCAGUCAGGGGGAGUAACCGCCACAGGGCGACCUGCCGUGGACCACACCUAUCAGAACAUAUCAGGGCACUACCUUUACGCAGAAAUACCCUUCAAUUCUAACGACGACCUGUCCCCUGCCGUACUUCAACUUCCGGUCUUCUCAAUCACCCAACCGUCAUGUAUGUCACUGAGCUAUGUGUUUGAGAGGCCCGACUCAAUCAGACUUAAGGUUUCCGCUCGCCUUCAAAAAGGUGAUGACGUCACUGACUUGUGGUCAGCCUCAAAGGGUCUGUCGACCUGGAGCACUGUCAAUAUUUCUAUCGAUAGUGGUGUGGCCCAGCUCAAUAUCACGGCGGUUCCUCUGAAGCCCACCUACACUACUGGAGUCGCCAUUGAUGACGUCAAAUUAGUUGCGGGAAAAUGCAAAGAUGAUGGGCACAUAGAAUGUGACUUUAACGAGAAAAAUGGAUGUGAACUGUCUCAAGAUGACUCACUCUUUGUUUGGGAGAUGAAAGAAGAAAACGGUGAGAGAUAUAUGCAUUUCGAUGGAAAUAACAAACCGCCUAGAACCAAAGGAGUACUGUAUCAGCCAUUGGGAAACAUGGACUCGUCCUACUGUGUGAAAGUUAGAUAUAAAAUGUGUCACGAUACUGUUUUAUCCAUACAUACGUCAUUUGUCUACGGAAAUUACGUCAUCACCGGGAAUGCUCUCUGGAGCAGACGAUACAGACUGGGCGACUGCUCCGCGUGGCAGCAGCUGUCCGUCCCGAUGUCCUACAAACACUACCCCCACCGGGUCACAAUUCAGGGCGUUGUCAACUCCCAAAGUGCCAGCAUCUCUAUCGACGAUUUCACGAUCAUUCUUGGAGACUGUUUAUGAAAAAAAUUAUAAAUCUAUAAUUAAUGUUAAUUUUUCUAGAAAGAAGUGUAAAACGAUAUACUACCUCGUCGUCUUAUCAAUAGAAAUGUUGUAUCUAGAGUAAUACUUUUGUAUUUAUGAGUAAGUAUGUCGCUAUACAUGUAUGUUUAUGGAGUCUUGUUUGUUGUGUAUAUGUGCAUAUACCCGGUAAUCUAACAGUGCAGUAUAACUUGGACAAUCAAAAUGGGAUUCCAGUGUGCAAGCGGUACAGUCGUGCGUGUUAUAUUAUAGAGUGUUUUUGUUUUAUAUACAUGUAUGUAAUUAAGAAAAAAGAGAAUCAAAAUUAUGAUUAAAUUAAAAUAUUGGAUGUUUCCCUGAAUUUCAUAUUAUACUGAGUUCAAACACAGGGGCUUGGUUGUUUGAUAGUGAAUUUCCUAAUUAUUUGUUCCCGAAAAAAAAAUGUGAUUAAAAUUGGCAAUCUUAUGUGUAAAUUUCUGUGUAUUGCAAUAAAUAAAUUCACUAAAACCCCCC